rnacentral:rRNA from 1 species
AUGUGAUAAGUAAUGUGAAUUGCAGAAUUCAGUGAAUCAUUGAAUCUUUGAACGCACCUUGCACCUUUUGGUAUUCCAAAAGGUACACCUGUUUGAGUGUCAU